rnacentral:misc_RNA from 1 species
GUCAGAUUGUGUGUACUUCUUCUUCGGAGGCUCAGAAAUUCCUUGCAUCCGUAAGCAAGCUUUGCAAUUGCAAUUUUUGCGGCAAACCGGACAUUUUUCCGCAAAAUCAUCCUCUGACAAAUGAGGGUACCAGCGGGUCAUACAGGUCACACAAAAUCGUUUCUUAUUGCAAUUCUCGCACCGCACCACCCUCCCCUUGUCGUUCCU